GCUGCCCUGGGGCCGGCACAGCCCGGCAAUCUGUCUGUCCUGCCCUGCCCUGUUUGUCCUGUCCAGCUGAGCAGCCCCGGCAGCGCAGGAUGCGCGCCCGGACGGAGCCCCCGCAGCCCCGGGGCAGCGCGGUGAGGGGCACUGGGCAGGAGUUCUAAGUGACAAUUUUGACUUGCAGUGGAGUUAUCUCUCGAUCAUCACCUUCUUUUCGAGUCCAUCCCUGUGUCAGACACCCAGCUUCAGACUCCUGACAUGGAGGAAAUCAUGGUGGAAACAGUCCUGGCCCCAUGGGAGAUCCUGCUAGUCAUUUUUGCUGCAGUGCUGGUGAUGAGUGUGCUGAUGCUGCUGCCCCCAGCUGCGGUGGUGAUCUGGAGGAUGAGACAUGUGCCACAGAUCUCGCUGCAGGGCUCGGUGUGAGCCAGCCCUGCUCCAGCACUGCCCUGGCAGCAUGGCUCACACUGACAACACCUCUCAGGUCACUCUCACUACCUGUGAGCCACCCCAGAGCACUGCCUCUGCCAGUCUGCUGCUGCUGAGUUUCUGUGAGAAGAGUUUAUUGUGUGAUUUUGGGGCCAUGAGCUGCAGUUCUCCACACUUUGCCUUCCAUGUUCUGGCUGGGUUGUAAUUACUGCUCUCGGCUCAGCUCCUGAACUGAGUUCUUCUCUUGUGUUACAAUGGACUGAAAGAGAAGUAAGGAUAAUGCAGCACUGUAUUCCCUUAAUUAAUAUCAGGAAUAAUUAAUAUCCCUCUCUAUAGUUACACUGUAAAUAUUACCAAAGCCUUUAGCUGACUGACACUUGUGCAGGUGGAUUUAUCCAAUGCAUAUAAGAUACUCUGGGGAGGCAGUGGUUUAGUCUGGUUGUAUUGCAAAACCUAAAAAAAAAAUAAAAUUUCCGAGAAUGUUUCAAGAAGUAAGCCUCUCCUGCUUCUCUUGUUUGAUCUGGAAACUUAAUGGUUUAAAAUGGUAUUAAGAUCUUUCAUUCUAUAUGAAUUUUCCUCUUUCCUCAACCCCCUAGUGCCAGAACAAACCCCAUCCUGGGGCUAGAGCAGAAAUGGUCCUAUGCUCAGACAGGCCAGACACCAACAAGAAGUUAAUGCAAACACACAGCAACCAUUUACAUGAAUGAAAUUAUGCAAAUGUACUCUGGGAAAUAACACGAUUAAAUUUACUUUAGUUCUUAACUGUGUCAUAUUGGCUUAUUGAGUCAACUCCCUGUCUCAUUAUAAAUAAUAACUCAGGUGGUGGGAAUAGAACAAAAUUUCUUCUCUGCAAGUUUUUGAAAAACAUCCCAGCAACCCAAUCUCCAGCUUAAUAUCAGGUUCAUGACACAUGAUAAUUAAAGCUUUCCAGCCUAAUUCUUCCACACUGUGUGACACUAUAAAGAUUUCUGAUGCACAAAUGAAAGUUUCUGCUAGUUUACAAGCUUCCUUUCCUCGUGAAAUAAAAUAUGAAUGACUUUUCUUUUCUUUUGUUGAUUGCUUUGGAAAGUCACUAGAAUAGAAUAACAAAAUUGAGAGGAAAAAAUGGGGUUUAGCACCAGCAGAAAAAUUAUACUGAAAAGUACUCCAGAUAUUUUAUCUGAGCAU